AUGCUCAAAGCAGCUCCAAGUCCCUCUUCCCCCCUUGCCCCGCUGCAGGAGAUGGAUGCUUCCAGCUCCCCCCCGCCUUGGUGCAGCAGUGGUACGGCUCCCCCCCCCCGGAAGUGGUACGUUCCAAGCCUUUAUAAGCGGUCGCCGCCACCUUGGAGCCCUUUUGCCAUGCGUGCAGGGCGGCUGGUGAGGAUGCCUGGGGGCGGUUGGGCGUUGAAGGUGGGCAGGGAGAGGCACCAUUAUUGUGUAGCACGCUAUGAAGUAGCCAUGAGGUGGGGAUCCACACCCCCGCCCCGGCAGUGGUGGUGUCCGCCGGCAUCAGGGCCGCUGGGGCUGGGCACGACCAUUCGGGGAAGCGGAGGGGGGGACACACGGAGGGCUGUGGCAUGGCGGCAUGUGGUGCUGACUCCCUUCGUCCCCACAGGGCCGGACAUGGAGGCAGGAACCGGCACCGGGGCCUCGAUAGCCCGUGAGAGGGGCCGGGACCGCGGUGGGACCGGUGCGAGCGGCUCCUCGCAGAAGGAUGGCUUGAAGUAAAAAAAGAGCCUGGCGUUCCAGAUGAAGGUGACAUAGGGAGUAGAUCUCUUUGGAGAUGGCCCUUAUGUGAAGGUGAGUGAUGAAUUUCACUGACUCAUGUAGAGCUUUGUGCCGUGUGGGAUCUAAAUUGGGAAUAAAUGAGGUUUAUAGGCUGCA
rnacentral:lncRNA from 14 species